AAACGACUCUCGGCAACGGAUAUCUCGGCUCUCGCAUCGAUGAAGAACGUAGCGAAAUGCGAUACUUGGUGUGAAUUGCAGAAUCCCGUGAACCAUCGAGUCUUUGAACGCAAGUUGCGCCCGAAGCCAUUCGGCUGAGGGCACGUCUGCCUGGGCGUCACG
rnacentral:rRNA from 1 species